rnacentral:rRNA from 1 species
GACGAACGCUGGCGGCGUGCCUAAUACAUGCAAGUAGAACGCACAGUUUAUACCGUAGCUUGCUGCACCAUAGACUGUGAGUUGCGAACGGGUGAGUAACGCGUAGGUAACCUGCCUGGUAGCGGGGGAUAACUAUUGGAAACGAUAGCUAAUACCGCAUAAUAUUAAUUAUUGCAUGAUAAUUAAUUGAAAGGUGCAAUUGCACCACUACCAGAUGGACCUGCGUUGUAUUAGCUAGUAGGUGAGGUAACGGCUCACCUAGGCGACGAUACAUAGCCGACCUGAGAGGGCGAUCGGCCACACUGGGACUGAGACACGGCCCAGACUCCUACGGGAGGCAGCAGUAGGGAAUCUUCGGCAAUGGACGAAAGUCUGACCGAGCAACGCCGCGUGAGUGAAGAAGGUUUUCGGAUCGUAAAGCUCUGUUGUAAGAGAAGAACGGGUGUGAGAGUGGAAAGUUCACACUGUGACGGUAUCUUACCAGAAAGGGACGGCUAACUACGUG